CGGAAAAAGUUUCAAACUCAUAACAUCUCGCUGCCUGAUUCUUGAACGAGAGGAUGAUCCAAGAGAGAGAAAAAAAUUUGAUUCUUCCUUUUUUUUUUUUUUUUUUUUUUUUGACAGCAAAGAAUUUACAGACUCAUGAUGACUCUGUAAACCAAAUCGGUAACUCCGCAUCCAUGUGAACGACAAAGGACGAUUGUUUCCUAGCACUGCGUGCUAGACUAUCUGCCCGAAGAUUCGCUGUCCGAGGUACAUGAACUAUAUCAGAGUUGAGGAAACUUCCUUUGAGAAGCUUUAUGUCCUCCAAAUAGCUUUCGAAUGCUGGCCAUUCUUCUGGUUCCGAAACCAUCUUCACCAAUUGAGAACAAUCCGUUGCAAACGUUACCUGAAACUGUCUUAAAUUCUUCAUACAUUCCAUUGCCCAAAUCAACGCCUCUAUCUCCGAAUGAAGGGGUGAAAGACAUGCCCUUACAUUCCUUGCCCCUAGC
rnacentral:lncRNA from 1 species